CUCUCUUCCUUUCUAUUCUUUUUCUUCUUCAUUCUUUUUUUUCUUCUUUUUGUUCUUCAUUCUUCCACCUUGCCGAGCAUAGAGCGAGAGAGAGAGAUGUCAAGAGAUUGAGAGGGAGAGAUCAGAGAGAGUGAGAUCGAGAGAUUGAGAGAGAUGAGACUCGGGAGAGAGAAAGGAAAGACCCAAGAGCCAAAGGGAGCCGGAGAUGGAACCUGAGUGCCCAUAGCCCAAGGGAGGUCCGAUCCUCCAUGUCUGGUGGCCAGAAGCCAAUUUCCGGUGGGCCAAGUGUUUUCCGACCGAACUCGGAAGAGAGAGAACCCGAUGCAACCUGUAACCCAAUUGGUGAGACCCGAUUUCCCGAUCGAUUUCCGGCAAGUUUUUCGGCGAAAUCAAAGGCGAUUUCUGAUGGGUUUUUGAAGAAAAUCCCCAAGAUGAUGAACUGAGGCUGCGAAAAAGGGCUAUGUUUGCGCAGGUUCUGAAGAUUAUGGAUUGGAUUAACUGCUAGCUUAUAAGUUCUAAAGCUAUGUAGUUAGGAUUUUAGUACUUUGUACUUAUAAAUGUUUGUACUAUUUUGUAUGUAACAUGUUUUAGGAAUUUACUUGUAUUUAGUAAGUUUCCAUGUAUGAUUUCGUGUCAUAUGUGACACGUAUUUCAUUUUAAUUAGUUUAAUGAAAAUUAAAGGAUUUUUAAUAU